rnacentral:rRNA from 1 species
UACAGAGACCUCAAGCGUUAUCCGGAAUCAUUGGGCGUAAAGAGUACCGAUCGGUGGUUUUGUGUGUCUAGAGUGAAAGACCGGAGCUCAACUCCGUGUUUGCUUUGGAAACUGCAAAACUAGAGUAGUAAAGGGGUGGCUGGAACUCUGCAAGUAGCGGUGAAAUGCGUUGAUAUGCAGGGGAACACCAAAAGCGAAGGCAGGCCACUGGGUACUUACUGACACUGCUAGGACGAAAGCGUGGGGAGCGAAUAGG